UCUCAUAACCAGCAGUCAACUGUCAACUCAUCCAUUGUGUGAUCUGGUCCUGUUGUCAAUGUUAGUGUGCUUUGCCUUUUUAGUUGUGAAAUACCUGGUAGCAACCGCCCCAGUAGAAAGCAACCCCAGCUUCCUCCCUCUUAUUUAUAAGCAACCUUCAAUCGCUAAAGCUCACACGCAGUCCCCAAGUGCCCUGACGAUCCAUUCCACCUCAGUCUUCAGUCUUCAUCUCCUCAAGAUUGAGAUGGAACCUGUGGAAAAUUGUGGUGGAGGAUAGCCAACAGUAUGAGGCAAGGGCUAGCAAUUUUUGUUGAAAAUGAAGUCUCAGGAUGAAGUUCGGGAAGAAGGUCUCAUGAUUGGAUUAUAGGCGAUGGGAGGUAUGGGAUUACAACUUUAGCUAAAAUUCUUUACAAUUCUAUUUUUGGAAAUUUCGAAGGUUCCACUUUUCUCAAUUGCCUCAAAGGUUUGAGAGAUUCCGAACACUGGAAUUUGGUUCGUUUGUAAGAAAAAUUGCUAUCCACUCAACAAUGUCGUUGCCCCUCAACUCAAGUCAUGCACUUGUAGGGUACCAACUCAAUCAAGUCAUGCAGUUGUAGGAUCCCAUUCUCAUCUACUCCACUAGCUGCUUCAAGAUCACAACUGUCAACAACACUUAUGUUCUACUCCACCCGUUGAAAAAACAAGCAAUGUGGAGAAAAAAUCUCCUUCUCAUCAUAAUUCAACCAUCAUAGCUUAUUUUAUGGUUUGGUCCGAGCUUAUGUUGAAUUUAUUCGGGUCACUUUCCCAAUUUACAUUUGCUACUAGCACAGAAGGCAGAACCCAACAUCUCCGGUGCUAAAGAAAGGUGUUGAGUGUAUUGCAGAGCUCUAUCAACAAGAUCUCUCCUUAUUUCUAUGUUUCUGUUCCAGAAGCAAACUUCUUAAAAGUUCACAAGCCUCAAAAUCCUCUGGAAUAGUAUGUAAUGAUGAUCAACUUCUCAUACAAAGCUCCAGCUAGAGCAUCUAUGUUAUCCACACCGUCAAGAAUAAGGAGAACUCUUUUGCAACAAAUUCUCUCUUUCAUUUAGCUAAUUCCUCCAGCAACACUGGUCACGGUUGUUUCUUUUGUCAUUAAUAUCCGGGAUAGCAAUUUUCCUUGCAAACGAACAAAGUUUUAGGAAUCUCUCGAAGUUCCUUUGAUGCCAUCAAGAAAAGCGGAACCUUUAAAAUUUCUAAAAAUCGAGUUGUAAAGAGUUUUAGCUAAAGUUGUCUUCCCCAUACCUCCCAUCACCCAUAAUCCAAUGGUGAGACAUUUCAUAUUCAGCAUUGAUUUCAGCUUCGCUGUUCUCUCUAUUUAAAUGUAUAUUGGGCAGAAGAAGAGAGCAAUUCCAGACAGGGCAUACCAAAUACCAAAUCAUUAUUUUUCUAUCAGAGAAUUUGUUCAAUGUGAAAGGGUGUAGAUGCGUUGAAGUUGGAACAAAUCAUUCACAGUCCAUGUAGCCUCACCUCUUCCUCCUCUUUUCAUUGAGUUUGCUUUUUGAGGUAUGCUACUAUCUACAUUACAACUUCAGGUUGAUUUUAUACUCUCUUUCUUAGAUUUAGUUGAUACUCAGUUGUGAUUCUGGUUCUUAAAAGGAGGGAAAAGAUGCAAUGACCAUCCCUUUGGACCCAAAUUCAAGGAAAGUCAGACGUUUCUUCCUGUAUUCUAGUAGUGUACCUCAUUGUAUCGUUUCCGCCUUUUCUAGGAGACUAGCAUAAAAUAGAUUCAUAGUCUGCAAAUUUAAAAAUGAAUGAGUGCGCUUGAAAGUCAAAGCUAUGUGCCUCUUUUAAACGAGAAAGUCGGCCUAAGUAAGUGAAUCACAAAGUCAUGAAAAAAACUCUUCAAUCUCAUGAAACAAGUAAAUUGCGACCUGAACUUCGAGUAUUAUCGUUUUGGUAUUACAUCGGCUGAAGUUUCCCUUGUGCUUGCUUUUGCAUACUCACUUCGUUCGUGAAGAUUCAUAUGCACACAAUGUCUAGUCUACAUGUGGUCCGUAUGCUAAACCAGUGAUGAUAAGGUACUAGGUAGUUUUAAUCUAGUAGAUUAUGUCGAUCGCAUUUAUAACUCAAAUUUUCCUACAAUUUGUGUUGUAAGUUUUGUUCAACACAGGGGUGAGUCUAUGGUCCUCGAGAGGCAUCGUGUGUCCCGGAGAACGUUGAGAUCCAUUGCAUUUUAAUCCAACGGUAAAAGAUUGUAAAGGUAUGGUGCGUCUUGGGACCCCAGAGUUAACCCAUAAUGGAUUUUUGUGAUCGGAUUACUGAACUUCGAUUUAAUUGCACAGUACUAGUAAGUAUCUAUUUCUUGUACUUACAUUCAUUUUGACUGCAAUCUAGCCAAUACUAUGAGGAAAUGCAAAUGUUGCAGGCACGUGGAAAUGGUGUGGCAUCUGGACGAUUGGUCAAGUGUUCAUGGCAUCCAUCACUUAAGCAUUUUGCCGGAUUAUUAGUCGAAUUCCUGUCGAUGUGCUUAAGAUACCAAGAAAUUAUGAAAGUUCAAUGCAUCUGGUUUUAAAAAAUAAAGUUCAGGGACUUGAUUGCAAAAUCCACUAAAGUUCAAUAUACUUACAAGUAGAAUUGACCUUGACUGUCA